rnacentral:rRNA from 1 species
UACGAAGGGGGCUAGCGUUGCUCGGAAUCACUGGGCGUAAAGGGUGCGUAGGCGGGUCUUUAAGUCAGGGGUGAAAUCCUGGAGCUCAACUCCAGAACUGCCUUUGAUACUGAAGAUCUUGAGUUCGGGAGAGGUGAGUGGAACUGCGAGUGUAGAGGUGAAAUUCGUAGAUAUUCGCAAGAACACCAGCGGCGAAGGCGGCUCACUGGCCCGAUACUGACGCUGAGGUGCGAAAGCGUGGGGAGCAAACAGG